rnacentral:rRNA from 1 species
CAGGAUUAGAUACCCUGGUAGUCCACGCCGUAAACGAUGUCGACUUGGAGGUUGUGGCUUCCGGAGCUAACGCGUUAAGUCGACCGCUGGGGAGUACGGCCGCAAGGUUAAAACUCAAAUGAAUUGACGGGGGCCCGCACAAGCGGUGGAGCAUGUGGUUUAAUUCGAUGCAACGCGAAGAACCUUACCUGGUCUUGACAUCCAGGUGCUGCAUGGCUGUCGUCAGCUCGUGUUGUGAAAUGUUGGGUUAAGUCCCGCAACGAGCGCAACCCUUAUCCUUUGUUGCAACUCAAAGGAGACUGCCAGUGAUAAACUGGAGGAAGGUGGGGAUGACGUCAAGUCAUCAUGGCCCUUACGACCAGGGCUACACACGUGCUACAAUGGCGCAUACAAAGAGAAGCGACCUCGCGAGAGCAAGCGGACCUCAUAAAGUGCGUCGUAGUCCGGAUUGGAGUCUGCAACUCGACUCCAUGAAGUCGGAAUCGCUAGUAAUCGUAGAUCAGAUGCCACGGUGAAUACGUUCCCGGGCCUUGUACACACCGCCCGUCACACCAUGGGAGUGGGUUGCAAAAGAAGUAGGUUACCACUUUGUGAUUCAUGACUGGGGUGAAGUCGUAACAAGGUAACCGA